GUGGGUCUACUCUGAACUUUAAGUGUUUGAGAGUUUUUUAAACCUUUAUGUUUUUUAUCAGGGUGGCAUCGUCUCAAAUGAUCCUCCAGCUUAAUUGGUUUCAUAGCGUCAUUAAAAGGCACAUAAAAAGUGGUUUGUUUGACAAGGAAGGAAUGAAAUCCAAUUUCAAAUACUAAACACUAAAAUAAGUAAAACACUAAAUACUACAUUUCUUUUUGUUUAAGUUACAACUAGACAAAAUUAAGUUAUUUAAAUAGAGGUAUAAAAUUAAAUACUACGAUUUUUCAAUCGAGCAUUUAGUAAAGUACAAAUCAUAAAUGCGUGUAUAAAAUGAUUCCACUAACGGGAUAUCAAAAUUUAAGUCACGACCUGCUGAAAUGAGAUUCAUUAUCGUAGAUCCCCGCGCCCAUUUUAUAGACCCCCAAUUUACUUUUUCAAUUUCGUAGACUCCUGGGGGUCUAUUUAGACCACUUAGGGAAUCACUGGUAAAAAUAGAAGCUUCGAGGUGAAUCUAGAUUUUAAUAGUUCUCGUGUAAACAGAGUUUACUGAAAACAAGUAGACUAUCGAAGUUUUUUUUUUAAAGGUUGAUCUUAUAGGCCUAUUACUAGUUAAAAAGAUUUUAGGGUUGUGAUUUUAACUGAUGCGAUCAUUCUCGUUGGAUUAUUAAUUAAAGUGCUUAGUAUUUCUAUUCUUGGAUUUGUUCUGUGCUUUAUUAAUUUCUAAAUAUUUAUGUAUUUAUGGUAAAAUUUAUUAUAACUACCACCCAAUCAACCAAGUCGCAACGUAACACUAAUUUAUUUCAUUUAUAUAACUGUGUCCUCAUUUUUAUGUUGGAGGGUCCAAUAUCAGCGAUGAACUGCGCUGUAGUUUCCAGACCAGAGAGCUCUCCUGUCCCACCUGAUAGACUUUCUUCUAUUGGCUUGUUUUCGGUCAGUGACUUUUUGGGGCAUCUCAACGACUAACUCUGCGGCUGACAAUGUUAACUAGGGCUGAGGUUGACCACUAGGGUUGCGGCUGACCACUAGGAUUGCGGCUGACCACUAAGGCUGCGGCUGACCACUAGGGUUGCGGCUAACAACAAGGGUGGCGGCUGCCCACUAGGGUGGCG